rnacentral:rRNA from 1 species
GACGAACGCUGGCGGCGUGCUUAACACAUGCAAGUCGAACGGAAAGGCCCUGCUUGCGGGUAAUCGAGUGGCGAACGGGUGAGUAACACGUGGGUGAUCUGCCCCGCACUUCGGGAUAAGCCUGGGAAACUGGGUCUAAUAACGGAUAGGAGCCACUUUUAGUGUGUUGUUUGGAAAGUUUUUUGGGGGUAGGGUGAGCUCGCGGCCUAUCAGCUUGUUGGUGGGGUAAUGGCCUACCAAGGCGGGGACGGGUAGUCGGCCUGGGAGGGGGGACGGACACAUUGGGACUGAGAUACGGCCCAGACUCCUACGGGAGGCAGCAGGGGGGAAUAUUGCACAAUGGGCGCAAGCCUGAUGCAGCGACGCCGCGUGGGGGAUGACGGCCUUCGGGUUGUAAACUCCUUUCGCUAGGGACGAAGCUUUUUGUGACGGUACCUAGAUAAGAAGCACCGGCUAACUACGUG